rnacentral:lncRNA from 1 species
GUUAGAGGGAAGCUGAUGUGUUAGAGGGGAAGCUGAUGUGUUAGAGGGAGGCCGAUGUGUUAGAGGGGAAGCUGAUGUGUUAGAGGGAAGCUGAUGUGUUAGAGGGAGGCUGAUGUGUUAGAGGGAGGCCGAUGUGUUAGAGGGGAAGCUGAUGUGUUAGAGGGGAAGCUGAUGUGUUAGAGGGAGGCCGAUGUGUUAGAGGGAGGCCGAUGUGUUAGAGGGAGGCCGAUGUGUUAGAGGGAGGCCGAUGUGUUAGAGGGGAAGCUGAUGUGUUAGAGGGAAGCUGAUGUGUUAGAGGGGAAGCUGAUGUGUUAGAGGGAAGCUGAUGUGUUAGAGGGAGGCCGAUGUGUUAGAGGGGAAGCUGAUGUGUUAGAGGGAAGCUGAUGUGUUAGAGGGGAAGCUGAUGUGUUAGAGGGAAGCUGAUGUGUUAGAGGGAGGCUGAUGUGUUAGAGGGAGGCCGAUGUGUUAGGGAUAUUUUAAGUGAAGAGGCGGAUGGAACAGAAACUAGAAAUUAGAGGGAUUGGCACGGGAGCUUUGGAUCUAGGUCGUGGGAAGAAGUUGAGCAUUUAAGAACAAACAAGUUCUUUCAGCACAUUAAAAGGUUCUUUUAAAAAUAAACUUUCCUCAUGUAGUACAAAAGGAACCCUAGGUGCA